UACGGGGGGGGCAAGCGUUGUUCGGAAUUACUGGGCGUAAAGGGCGCGUAGGCGGCCAACUAAGUCAGACGUGAAAUCCCCAGGCUCAACCUGGGAACUGCGUCUGAUACUGGAUGGCUUGAGUUCGGGAGAGGGAAGUGGAAUUCCAGGUGUAGCGGUGAAAUGCGUAGAUAUCUGGAGGAACACCGGUGGCGAAGGCGGCUUCCUGGACCGACACUGACGCUGAGGCGCGAAAGCCAGGGGAGGCAAACAGG
rnacentral:rRNA from 1 species